GCAAGCGUUUUCCGGAAUUUAUUGGCGUAAAGCGCGCGCAGGCGGUUCCUUUAAGUCUGAUGUGAAAGCCCCCCGGCUCAACCGGGGAGGGUCAUUGGAAACUGGGGAACUUGAGUGCAGAAGAGGAGAGCGGAAUUCCACGUGUAGCGGUGAAAUGCGUAGAGAUGUGGAGGAACACCAGUGGCGAAGGCGGCUCUCUGGUCUGUAACUGACGCUGAGGCGCGAAAGCGUGGGGAGCGAACAGGAUUAGAUACCCUGGUAGUCCACGCCGUAAACGAUGAGUGCUAAGUGUUAGAGGGUUUCCGCCCUUUAGUGCUGCAGCAAACGCAUUAAGCACUCCGCCUGGGGAGUACGGCCGCAAGGCUGAAACUCAAAGGAAUUGACGGGGGCCCGCACAAGCGGUGGAGCAUGUGGUUUAAUUCGAAGCAACGCGAAGAACCUUACCAGGUCUUGACAUCCUCUGACAACCCUAGAGAUAGGGCGUUCCCCUUCGGGGGACAGAGUGACAGGUGGUGCAUGGUUGUCGUCAGCUCGUGUCGUGAGAUGUUGGGUUAAGUCCCGCAACGAGCGCAACCCUUGAUCUUAGUUGCCAGCAUUCAGUUGGGCACUCUAAGGUGACUGCCGGUGACAAACCGGAGGAAGGUGGGGAUGACGUCAAAUCAUCAUGCCCCUUAUGACCUGGGCUACACACGUGCUACAAUGGAUGGAACAAAGGGCUGCAAAACCGCGAGGUCGAGCCAAUCCCAUAAAUCCAUUCUCAGUUCGGAUUGCAGGCUGCAACUCGCCUGCAUGAAGCCGGAAUCGCUAGUAAUCGCGGAUAGCAUGCCGCGGUGAAUACGUUCCCGGGCCUUGUACACACCGCCCGUCACACCACGAGUAGUUUGUAACACCCGAAGUCGGUGGGGUAACCUGUUGGAGCCAGCCGC
rnacentral:rRNA from 1 species